CCUCCCUUUCCGGUAGCUGGGAACACACUAGUGUCACCACUCAGGCAUCUCCUUUGCCUUUGUUCACCAUAACUCUAAAAAUUUCUAUGUUGGGGCCUGGGCCAUCGCUCAACUGUCAGCUUGCUCACCUAGCAUGCAUGAGGCACUGGAUUCAAGCCUCGAACCACAUCCUGCAGCACCAGAGCUUCAGGUCCAAAGCACUGGUAUCAUCUCUGACUCAGGGCCAUGUUAGUCCUAGCCCCAGGAGCAACCCCAAGCAACAAGGCAGAAAACAGUGAAGAACCUCACUUUCCAGGAAUUCCUCUGAAGGUGGAGAGAUGGCCAGGAAACCCACACGCAGCUAACACACCAAAGGAUGAAGCAAGAGUGCUGGAAUGUAGCUUGGUAUUAAAGGAUGUGCCUGAUGCCUGGGGUGUGCAAGGUCCUGUGUUUGAUUACAGCCAAGAGCUGGGGGGGGGGGUGUCACUAAUAAAACCUGUUACUUUGAUCUUCGAGGUAGUCAGGUGCAAUAAAAAUAUCCCCUGAAAACGUAUAACCACAAACUAGCCUUCACAUUGGUUUGUGACCUAAUUCACAUAGCCUGUGUUUUCUGAGAAACCCCAGAUGAUUUAUUUUUAAAUGACUCCAGAGUAGAUGUAACAUUGCUACCCAAACCCUCAAAGACCACACAAAGAGAACCAAAAGACCAGCCUGACUUAGAAACAUCAAUGCAAAAACAUUAAGUAAAAUGCAAAGAAAUGGAUAUCAAUGCAAAAACAUUAAGUAAAAUGCAAAGAAAUGGAAUUGAGGGACACAUUCCCAAAGGAACUGUGAGCUUUGAUAUAUGAGUGAGAAAAAUGGUCCAUUAUCAAAGUCUAGGUAUGUUAUAGCCAAGCUUGAUGGUUCAUGCAUAAACCCAGGACUUGGAAGGCUAAGAAAAGGUGAUUGCGGAAUUUAGAGGCCAGCCUGGGCUACAUAGCAAGAUCCUGUCUCAAAACAAUCAAACUUAUGGAAAUCUUGGUAUUUUCAUGUCUUAAGAGAAAAAUGGUGUGAUCUUAGUUGAUAUUAAUUUGGGAGGGAAGGGGCUUUCUUUCUUUUUUUAGGUUUAUUUAUUAUGUAUACAGUGUUCUGUCUGUCUGUAUGUCUGCAGGGCAGAAGAGGGCACCAGAUCUCAUUACAGAUGGUUGCGAGCCACCAUGUGGUUGCUGGGAAUUGAACUCAGGAAGAGCAGCCAGUGCUCUUAACCACUGAGCCAUCUCUCCAGCCCCUGGGAGGGGGCUUUCUUGAUUUAAGAAAAUCCCCAUGAAAUAUGCAGAACUUCCUCAUAGGUAUUUAUUUAUUAGUCCAGACCCUACCUUAUUUAUUUAUUAUUUUCAUUAUUCUUUGACAUAUAUGGGUGCUUUGACUGUAUGUAUGUGGGCACUCCAUGCAUUCUUGGUGCCUGCUAAGGUCAAAAGGGGAUGCUGGAAACCCCAGGACUGGCGUUACAGACAGUUUUGUUGCUCUGUGGUUAUUGGGAACAGAACCUGGG
rnacentral:lncRNA from 1 species